rnacentral:rRNA from 1 species
AUUGAACGCUGGCGGCAUGCUUUACACAUGCAAGUCGAACGGUAACAGGCCGCAAGGUGCUGACGAGUGGCGAACGGGUGAGUAAUGCAUCGGAACGUGCCCAGUCAUGGGGGAUAACGCAGCGAAAGCUGCGCUAAUACCGCAUACGAUCUCUGGAUGAAAGCGGGGGACCGAAAGGCCCCGCGCGAUUGGAGCGGCCGAUGUCAGAUUAGGUAGUUGGUGGGGUAAAGGCCCACCAAGCCAACGAUCUGUAGCUGGUCUGAGAGGACGACCAGCCACACUGGGACUGAGACACGGCCCAGACUCCUACGGGAGGCAGCAGUGGGGAAUUUUGGACAAUGGGCGCAAGCCUGAUCCAGCAAUGCCGCGUGCAGGAAGAAGGCCUUCGGGUUGUAAACUGCUUUUGUGCGGAACGAAACGGUCCGGGUUAAUACCCUGGGCUAAUGACGGUACCGUAAGAAUAAGCACCGGCUAACUACGUGCCAGCCGCCGCCGUAAGAC